rnacentral:rRNA from 1 species
UAGGGAAUCUUCCGCAAUGGGCGAAAGCUUGACGGAGCAACGCCGCGUGAGUGAUGAAGGUCUUCGGAUCGUAAAACUCUGUUAUUAGGGAAGAACAAAUGUGUAAGUAACUAUGCACGUCUUGACGGUACCUAAUCAGAAAGCCACGGCUAACUACGUGCCAGCAGCCGCGGUAAUACGUAGGUGGCAGGCGUUAUCCGGAAUUAUUGGGCGUAAAGCGCGCGUAGGCGGUUUUUUAAGUCUGAUGGGAAAGCCCACGGCUCAACCGUGGAGGGUCAUUGGAAUCUUGAAAACUUGAGUGCAGAAGAGGAAAGUGGAAUUCCCUGUGUAGCGGUGAAAUGCGCAGAGAUAUGGAGGAACACCAGUGGCGAAGGCGACUUUCUGGUCUGUAACUGACGCUGAUGUGCGAAAGCGUGGGGCUCAAACAGG